rnacentral:rRNA from 1 species
GACGAACGCUGGCGGCGUGCUUAACACAUGCAAGUCGAACGGAAAGGCCCUGCUUUUGUGGGGUGCUCGAGUGGCGAACGGGUGAGUAACACGUGAGUAACCUGCCCUUGACUUUGGGAUAACUUCAGGAAACUGGGGCUAAUACCGGAUAGGAGCUCCUGCUGCAUGGUGGGGGUUGGAAAGUUUCGGCGGUUGGGGAUGGACUCGCGGCUUAUCAGCUUGUUGGUGGGGUAGUGACUUACCAAGGCUUUGACGGGUAGCCGGCCUGAGAGGGUGACCGGCCACAUUGGGACUGAGAGACGGCCCAGACUCCUACGGGAGGCAGCAGUGGGGAAUAUUGCACAAUGGGCGGAAGCCUGAUGCAGCAACGCCGCGUGCGGGAUGACGGCCUUCGGGUUGUAAACCGCUUUCGCCUGUGACGAAGCGUGAGUGACGGUAAUGGGUAAAGAAGCACCGGCUAACUACGUG